rnacentral:rRNA from 1 species
UACGAAGGGGGCUAGCGUUGUUCGGAAUUACUGGGCGUAAAGCGCACGUAGGCGGAUAUUUAAGUCAGGGGUGAAAUCCCGGGGCUCAACCCCGGAACUGCCUUUGAUACUGGGUAUCUAGAGUCCAGAAGAGGUGAGUGGAAUUCCGAGUGUAGAGGUGAAAUUCGUAGAUAUCAGGAAGAACACCCGUGGCGAAAGCGGCUCUCUGGAACGGUACUGACGCUGAGACGCGAAAGCGUGGGGAGCGAACAGG